GGACAAACGCUGGCGGCCGCGCUAACACAUGCCAGUUCAACGAAGAAGCCCAACUUGCUAGGUGGAUUAGUUGGCGAACGGGUGAGUAAUACGUUGAGUCGACCUACCUUUUGACUCCGGGAUAAGCCUGGGAAACUUGGGUCUAAUACCGGAUACGACCAAUCUCCGCAUGGGGUGUUUGGUGGAAAGCGUUUAUGGAGUCGGUUUUAGAUGGGCUCACGGCCCAUCAGCUUGUUGGUGAGGUAAUGGCUUACCAAGGCGACGACGGGUAGCCGGCCUGAGAGGGUGACCGGCCACACUGGGACUGAGACACGGCCCAGACUCCUACGGGAGGCAGCAGUGGGGAAUAUUGCACAAUGGGCGCAAGCCUGAUGCAGCGACGCCGCGUGAGGGAUGACGGCCUUCGGGUUGUAAACCUCUGUUAGCAUCGAAGAAGCGAAAGUGACGGUAGGUGCAGAGAAAGCGCCGGCUAACUACGUGCCAGCAGCCGCGGUAAUACGUAGGGCGCGAGCGUUGUCCGGAAUUAUUGGGCGUAAAGAGCUUGUAGGCGGUUGGUCGCGUCUGCUGUGAAAGGCUGGGGCUUAACCCUGGUUUUGCAGUGGGUACGGGCUAACUAGAGUGCAGUAGGGGAGACUGGAAUUCCUGGUGUAGCGGUGGAAUGCGCAGAUAUCAGGAGGAACACCGAUGGCGAAGGCAGGUCUCUGGGCUGUAACUGACGCUGAGAAGCGAAAGCAUGGGGAGCGAACAGGAUUAGAUACCCUGGUAGUCCAUGCCGUAAACGUUGGGCACUAGGUGUGGGGGACAUUCCACGUUUUCCGCGCCGUAGCUAACGCAUUAAGUGCCCCGCCUGGGGAGUACGGCCGCAAGGCUAAAACUCAAAGAAAUUGACGGGGGCCCGCACAAGCGGCGGAGCAUGCGGAUUAAUUCGAUGCAACGCGAAGAACCUUACCAAGGCUUGACAUAUACUGGACUGCGUCAGAGAUGGCGUUUCCCUUCGGGGCUGGUAUACAGGUGGUGCAUGGUUGUCGUCAGCUCGUGUCGUGAGAUGUUGGGUUAAGUCCCGCAACGAGCGCAACCCUCGUUCUAUGUUGCCAGCACGUGAUGGUGGGGACUCAUAGGAGACUGCCGGGGUCAACUCGGAGGAAGGUGGGGAUGACGUCAAAUCAUCAUGCCCCUUAUGUCUUGGGCUUCACGCAUGCUACAAUGGCCGGUACAGAGGGUUGCGAUACUGUGAGGUGGAGCUAAUCCCUAAAAGCCGGUCUCAGUUCGGAUUGGGGUCUGCAACUCGACCCCAUGAAGUCGGAGUCGCUAGUAAUCGCAGAUCAGCAACGCUGCGGUGAAUACGUUCCCGGGCCUUGUACACACCGCCCGUC
rnacentral:rRNA from 1 species